rnacentral:siRNA from 1 species
UGACUCUCUUGUCUGUCUGGUUCU